UUCAUUUAUAUAUAUUCACCAUUCAGGACUGAAACUUCCAAACCAACCAGUACACAAAGGUCCAAUACAGAGAAAAUCAAAGAAAAAAAAUACCCAUUUUCUCCAAGGGAUCAAUCUGGUAAAGGGAAGAUCUUGAAACUAUCACAUGGCUAAACUAUACUGAGGCUAGACCCUUCUCAGUAGACCCUUUUCAAUAACAUAGGCAGCCUAAAUAGAACUACUCCCUCAGAUUCAAUAGACCCUUUUCAAUAACAUAGGCGGCCUAGAGAGAACUACUGAGAAAAGAAGAGAACAGAACAAAAAAAAAAGGAAAAACAAAGGACAAAUACAAAAGAAACAGCCCAAUAUCCACUUAAUUUUUUAUCAUUGUUUUCCCUUUUUCUUAUUGGGCCUCUACUGUUCUAGUAGUAGAAGCAGAAACAGCAGGCUGAGGGGGCAAUGGAGCAUUAGACUGAUGAUGGUGAUGAGACUGGUGUUGAUGGCCAUGAGAGUUUACCCUAUGGAGCCUGCACCUGAAUGAACCAGCAUGAGUUGUUGGGGCACAAACACAGGCCCUUGGAGCACCUGAUUGCCCACUUAAUGAGUCAUUGGACCACGUCCUCUUCAUGGUCCCUUUUGGGGUGUGGUCCUUGGACUCCUCAGAAGAAACAUAUGAGGAAGCCAUGUCUUCUUAAAGAGUUGUCUGGUUUUCUAGCUGUGUUUUGUUUUUGGAAGAAAGAUGGA
rnacentral:lncRNA from 1 species